AGACAUGAUGGUUGGAUCCGAGUACAAACACAGUAGUAAUUCCUUUGUUCCCCUACUGAAUCAACGAGAAAACCAAAAUAAUAGAGACAAAAGAAAUAAAAACAGGUGGAAAAUAUAUUUUUAGACAGAGGAGGGUGUGUCGAAGCGUGACUGUCAAAUCUACAUAUUCUCUCUUUCUCUCUCUACAAAACUCCUUCUUUCUCUCUCUAAAUUCCUCUCAAUUCAGGGCUUCUUCCGGAGAUUCGAUUCAGUCGCCGAUCUUUUCUACUGUUUCUCGGAGACCCUUUUUCUCCUUCUCUUUUUCUCGGAAAAUGUUCCCAGAUUUUCAAGGACUGGUUCUGGUUUGAUUGAAUUCUGACCCAAAAAGAAAAAAGAAGAGAAAAAAAAAUAUGGAGGGGGACACGUUUUCAGGGCUAGGCAAUGGUACCCAGAUUGACGGCAAGGUGUUACAGACAUUUCAGAAGAGCUUUGUUCAAGUCCAAAACAUCUUGGAUCAGAACAGGCUGCUCAUCAAUGAGAUUAACCAAAAUCAUGAGUCCAAGAUCCCUGACAACCUUAGCAGAAAUGUGGGUCUGAUUAGGGAGCUCAACAAUAAUAUCAGAAGGGUUGUUGACCUCUAUGCUGAUCUUUCAACUUCCUUCACCAAAUCCGUGGAUGGUUCCUCUGAGGGAGAUUCUAGUGGUGCUUUGAGAUCAGAUGGGAAGGCUGGCCAUAAACGAAAUAGGCCUGUGUAGCUGCUGCUCCAACUCAGCAAAUUCUAAGACUUCUUAAUUCUUUUUCAUGGUGGGAAAACGGAAAAACUCGGAAAGAAAGAAAAGAAAGAAAGAAAAUUUGCAUUUGUGUUGAGCUAGAACAACAUGAUUAGGUCCUGUAACUCUUUUGUAUUAGUGAACUGUGUUUAGUUCUUCACUUACCUUACCACCCCCUCCCCCACAUUUCUCAGAAACAAAAUAAUUCUCUCAAAUCUCUCCCCCAUUGUAACUGUGUAACUGUGGAUCUAAUUGAAAUCGGUCUUGUUUGUUUCAA